GGAGAAGCAAAAUGAUGAGCAAAAUAGGCUGGAUCCCCAAAGAGGCAUGUGAACGUGUGUGUGUGUGUGUGUGUCCGUCCGUGUCAGUGUGUUUAUUGUGUGGAUGUGUGUGGAUGUGUGACCGGCUGUAGGGAACUAGCUAAGUGCCUUCUGUUGGGCCGUGACAGCAAAACUGAUAAGAUCUGAUUGCUUC